GACGAACGCUGGCGGCGUGCUUAACACAUGCAAGUCGAACGGAAAGGCCCUGCUUUUGUGGGGUGCUCGAGUGGCGAACGGGUGAGUAACACGUGAGUAACCUGCCCUUGACUUUGGGAUAACUUCAGGAAACUGGGGCUAAUACCGGAUAGGAGCUCCUGCUGCAUGGUGGGGGUUGGAAAGUUUCGGCGGUUGGGGAUGGACUCGCGGCUUAUCAGCUUGUUGGUGGGGUAGUGGCUUACCAAGGCUUUGACGGGUAGCCGGACUGAGAGGGUGACCGGCCACAUUGGGACUGAGAUACGGCCCAGACUCCUACGGGAGGCAGCAGUGGGGAAUAUUGCACAAUGGGCGGAAGCCUGAUGCAGCAACGCCGCGUGCGGGAUGACGGCCUUCGGGUUGUAAACCGCGUUCGCCUGUGACGAAGCGUGAGUGACGGUAAUGGGUAAAGAAGCACCGGCUAACUACGUG
rnacentral:rRNA from 1 species